rnacentral:rRNA from 1 species
GACGAACGCUGGCGGCGUGCCUAAUACAUGCAAGUCGAGCGAGCGGACCUAACAUAUUUCCUUCGGUAGUGACGCUAGGACAUCGAGCGCCCGAUGGUAGAGUACCCCGUAGGUAACCUGCCCUAUAGUCUGGUAUACCUCUUGGAAGCUGGUGCUACUACCGGCUUAGAAAGCAGAUCGCAUUAUCAGCUUUUACGAGUCGGCGUACGCUUUCGCUAUGGGAUGGCGCGGGGGUGUAUUAGCUAGGUGGUAAGGUAAAGGCUUACCAAGACGAUGAUGCAUAGCCGAGUCGAGAGACGGAUAGGCGACCUUGGGACUGAGACACGGACCAAACGCCUAAGGGAGGCAGCAGUAGGGAAUGUUCGACAAUGGACGCAAGUCUGAUGGAGCGACGCCGCGUGAGUGAAGAAGGUUUUCGGAUCGUAAAGAUCGGUUGUUGGUGAAGAAGGACUGAGGUAGUAACUGGACUGUGUGUGACGGUAAUCAACAAGAAAGCAACGGCUAACUACGUG